UAAACUAUAGCAUUAGAAGACCAUCAAAAGACAGAACAAUGAAAAAGAUUUCCUUGUCAUUGGUGUUUUUGGUAUUGCUGGUCGUGACUUCCUUUGUCGAUGAAUCGAAUGGCUGGUUUUGGAGACGAGUCCGCAAGUGUAGUAAAGUCUGCAAACUUCAGUGUGGUAGUGUUUGUCCCAAACUUUGCUGCGUGUGUUGCUCUCAGAAAUGUCACAGAAAGCGUCAGGUUGAAGAAGUCAUAGUGCCCCUGCCAUGUAAACUUUCUUUGGGACAAAGACGGAGAUGGGGCUGUAAGUAAGAAGGAAUUUGCAGAGCUGACGCACUCGAGCACAAAGAGUAUUGACGUCAAAUAUAUUUUCCAUUCUUUGGACAAAAAUGGUGACAAGAUCCUAACAAAAGAAGAAUUACAUAAUGCACCGAUUUUUACAGACAAAUGUUAGCUUUCUUCAUGUAAUGUAAAGAAAAUGCAAAGCACUUUUACAGACUGAGUGAUAAAAAUCUUCAGCAUCUUGA